ensembl:ncRNA K04B12.5 ncRNA
GUGAUGGGUGUGAAAAAAAUUUUCAAAAAAUUUUCCGUAGUACUUCUGAGAGGAAGGUAAUUUAAAAAUUAAUCUGAGA